rnacentral:rRNA from 1 species
UGUAGGUGGAAGCAGCGGUGGAGGAGGAGGAUGAGGUAGCCAACACUGUUUUUUACGUUUUUUUUUUUUUUUAAUUGUGGUAGCCCACAAAAUAUCGGGACAUAUAUAAAAAGACAACUUUGUUCCGCAGAGUAGCUGUUGAUAUUAUAGUUGCGCAGGCACUUUGUUGACUCUAGAGUACCUCGGGACAAUCGCACAUCCCCGUGAUGGCGACUUUGCAUUUAGAUGUCAUCCAUAUCAACGUUCGAUGCCAGUUUCUACGCCUACCAUGGUGACCACGGGUAAUGGGGAAUCAGGGUUCCAUUCCGUACAGGGACCCUGAGAAACGGCUAACACAUGCAAGGAAGGCAGCA